rnacentral:tRNA from 1 species
AAUUAGAAAGUAAACCAUUACAUUUAGUUUCGACCUAAAAAUAUGACCCCCCAAGAGGGUCUCUAAUUU